AGCACAGUGGGAGAAUGAAAGUAGGAAGAAGGGAGAAACCAUUUAUUUUCUGCUUCUGGUUGUAGCUUCAGUCAUGCUGGCAGUAAAGACAGUGGAUAACUGAGCAUCUAGAAGAUAGACAACCCACCAACUGACUGGGAAUGACUAUAAGUGUAGUGUGUUUGGGGCAGAAGCAGGUGGUUGAAAAAUGUCUGAAACGUGUGUGGGCUAGAAUCCAUUUUUUUUUUCUAUGGGUAUAUUCAUUUAACAAGAGCAGUCUCUGCAGAACUGUCAAAAACUGCCUGCCAUCUUUCCAAAUCAUCUCUCUCUUCAGUGACCAUGACUUAAUCCUAAAGGAAAACAAGGUUCAAAGUGUUAAUUUCUUUCUUUGCAUCUAAACACAUGACAGUUUGGGCUGCAUGGAGACUCAGCAGAAAGAUUCACAUACUGGUUGUCAUGAUGCUCUUCCAGACACACCAGUUUCCUCAAAGGACAUGACUACAGGACGAAGGCCCGAAUGCUCAGUGCGGCACACUUGGGAAGUCGCCCUCUUCAUGGUACCAGAGUUCAUAACACUCACCCAAAGUCAACCUAUCCAACAUCUGUUGUCACUAGUCACUGGAUAACCCUAGUGUGGAAGUCUCUGGUAUUUGCCACCUGACUUUGCUACUUUAAAUGUGGCCAGCACACUUUCCUACUGCAUCAUGAUGGGCAUAUAAAAGCCAAUGGCAUUUAUCAUCAAGUAUUAACACCACCAUCACCAAGUUCUCGUGUAGCAUGACUGCAACUCUUAUGGCCAUUUAUUAAGAAUGCAAAGCCUUUGAUGUGCUAGAAACAGAUGCACCUUUGAGACUGAACUUGCUCCCCGCUUUAUGGCUCUUCUCAUUUCUCCCCAGCCCCUCAACUUUGGCUCCCUUUCUUCAGGAUGUGACUACUCAGGCAAAUCGGCUCAUUUUUUUAUCUGACUAUAAGGCUAAACAAACAAAUCUUACAUAACUCUUCUGCCACAUAUUUUAACCUCUUUCUGUUUAGAAUUCAUCUAUAUUUCAACAGCAAGCAAAGCCUCUGAGUAGAGCUUUUGCACAAAGCUGCACCCAGACUGUGGUAUGCCAUGAUACUAAGUUGCCACACAGUGCCACCCUUCCUGUCACCUAAGCCACAAGGCAAUGAAUAACCCCCAGUUAGAAAUUUAGUCUUCUUUCUUCCUCCAUCUAAACUAAAAUUGUAAAAUACCAGAUCGAUGUUUUAAGAAUGCAGCUUGGAGGUAUGAUACAAUAAGCCAUGUAGUGACUAUGGAGAUCCCAUUGCAAAUCCUUUAAAACAUUUGCCUCGUCUACCUUUUAUCUGUUCUCCCUUGGGUGCUUUUCAUUUUCCAGCACACAUUUCUGCCGAACGGGAGAAGUGAUGAUAUUGGGCUUGAUGGGAGUCCGUGCCGCCAUGUCCGCUCUCCUGGAGUCCAGUGUGGAGGAGGAGUCCAGCUUGCCCUGAACUCUGCUCCAUCAGUUCCCUUCACCCACUGUUCAACACCUCACCCUGACCCAUUCCUUCACAAACUUGACAAGAGAGAGCAGAAAACUCUCCUUUUUGUCCUUCAUUCAUUCAUUAGAGGUGUACUGCAGACUUAACUAACCACAAAGCACUAAGCUUCACCGUGAGGAUCAUGAAGGAAUCACGAAAGAACAUCAGAUGUCUGUUCUGAAAGGGUCACCUCUUCACACACAUGUCCUGUCCCUCGGACUCAUAAUUUGAUAGGCAAGCUGCAGAAGGUGCUUCCUUCUUUGGAAAACUGCACUGAGUUAUAAAAGCUGGGGAGUUGGAAUUUAGCACCUUUUCUAGAUUUGCUUUCUUUCCUUCCCUUACAUAUACUUCAUGGGGAAACCAACUGUACUAUUUAGCAUCCCCUGAGCCCAACCUGCCCUUUUCUUUCUUCAAAACUCAUGGAAGGGAUGUCCUUCCUUUACAUCAGCACCCUGCUCUGCCUACUGCCACCCCCCACCCCCUGUCGUUGGAAACACAUUUCUUCUAUUUCAAAAGCACAUUUCAAAUAUGUCUUCCUUUCAUCUGGAUAAAAUUCUCUUUUGCCUGGAGACUCAGAGAAAGUGACAGAAAUCAACAAACUUUGCAGUCUACAGGCUCUCAUUCUGCACUUAGGCUCUAGUGCUUAUUAACCAUGUACCCCUGGAAAAGCUACCAGGGCUCUCUGAGCCUCAGUUUCCUCAUCUGCAAAAUGGAGAUGAUAAUAUUGCAAAAGAGUCAUGGUUUUUUGAUGAGGUAGUUUACAUAAGUGGCCUAGCAUAGUAUCUGACUCCUGAAAUGAUAGUCAGUGUCCCUUCUUGGAAAACUCCAUUAUUAAAUUCUGUUUGAUGUAACUAUUUGCAGGAUUACCUCCUGUGUUAAAAUCCUAGCCACUUGAGAAUAGGCACCACAGCUCAUUCACAUGGGGUUUCCUGCAGCCUUGCACAAAGCUUUGUGCCUAGCAGAUGCUCAGGCACGUCACUGGCUGCAUCAACGUGUUACUGUGAAAAUACAAAUGAUCAGAGGUCUGUGAAGAGUCAGGCUUAGUGGUGAAAGGAGGGCCUGGGUAUAAAGCUACGUUCUUUAAAGUCUUUGCUGAGUUCAGCAAGGUUCUUGAGGGCAGGGUAGCUGCAAGUAGUUGCAGUUGCAUUAAAUGAGCCAGGGUAGUUGCAGGGAGAAAGUGGCAGGCUCAUGAAAUUUAGGGCCCCAGGGUGACCUUAACCUGGGUCACAGGCAAGAUGAAUUAGAAGAGAAAACAGAGACAAAGCUAGCUCCUCUCAGAUCCUUAGACAUUCCAAACAAGGGGGAGACUCAGUCUUUCCUGAUUAAUCUUUAGUGAUUUAUUCUUUGGACAUCAUUUAAAAGGAGCAUUUUAAAGUAAAUUAAUUGAACUUCCAUGACCUUUUACCCUACAUGCAUCAUCAAAAGAAACUAGAUCUUGAAAUUAAAAAAAAAUACUUGAUUUAUUUUCUGUGACUUACUAACUACUGAGGAAUGUCAGUUGGGUUUUUAUUUUUUGAUAUUAUAAAUAAAACUCCAGUCUUUUUAGCAGUUAGUUGAAACAUCCCAACUGUAACAAAUAAAUGUUGAGUGAGGAGUAUCAUAGGAGGAGAAGUAAUAAAUACAUAACCUAAGAUACACAGGUAGAGGAAAGUAUUGGUUGUCUUAAAAAACAGCUAUUUCCCCUUUUACUUCUCUGGCCUGAUAUUAUUCCUGAGUUCACCCCUCUUCAACAUGACUUGGGUAAAUUUUCAUUAAUAUAAGCUGGUGUUUACCGAAGUAAAGGCAGGGGUCUAUUAGGGAAUUGCAAAAUCAGUUUAGUAGUUGGAUUAUUAUUAUUAUCAUUAUUUUUGAUUAAUGAAUAUAGCAGUAAAGAGAAUAAAACAGAGUAGAAAAUAUAUGAAUGCAUUGCAUAGUAAGGAUGAGUUUUAUAAAACUUUCAUUUGUGCUUUAUAUAUGCAUUAUGAAAUGCGUUUAUGUGUGUACUGAGUUGGGGUGUACAAUGUAUUUUUCACAGUCAUAUCUCAAAAACUUUGGAAGCUGUUGAAUCCUCCAGGCCUCAUGGUGAUUUGUUUGCAAAUUGCUGGGUGAUGGUGAUAUGGCUCUGGCCCAUGAGACAUCAAAGGAGAUCUGGUGGGGAAGACUGGGAAAAAAUUCCUCACCCAAACGCAUGAUACACUGUGGACCUACUGUCCUCUCUUUCACUGGGUGUUGCCAUGUCUAUAUGUGCUCCCUGGUACUGUGGCUCCAUCUUACAACUACAAAAGCAGCUCACGUGAGAUCAUGUUGAACAAUAACAUGUACGAAGAUGAAAGGAAUUGGGUCCUAGGUUCAGUGUUAAGCUGUGAUGUUAAAUAUCUCUGAAACUAUCCCACCUCUGGGCUAUUACAUGAGAUCAUAAAUCCCUUACUGUUUAAGCCACCUGAGUUAGUUUUAUGCUACUUACAGCUGAAAGAACCCUAAGGGAUAAAGAAAGCUUAUUUUAGGAGGUGCAAGUAAAUCAAACACUGGUGUAUAGGUCUGGUGGAAGGAAAGCUUGAAAAGGAACUCUGAGUCAGAUGGUGAAGAAUGCUAAGUUCCACGACCAAGCACUAAUGUGAAGACAGGACAGGCUUAUAGUUAUGAGCACAGACUCAGGAGUAGACAGUCUGCGCUUGAGCCUCUUUUUUCUACUUGUUAGCUGGGUUACUUAGGUGAGUAAUCAUUUUUAGCAGUAAAUUGGAAAAUUAAUCUGGUGUCAUUUUCUAGGGUGGAUUGGAAGUUGGGAAAAUGCGGAGUCAUUGAAAUUAGUUAGAAGACUAUUGUGACAAUCCAUUAAUGAAUAAUGAGGGCUUAUGCUGUGGAGAUGGUAAAGGAAACCCAUGGGAAGAGAAGGAUGUAGGAGGUACUAAGAAGGUGGGCUUGGUGAUAGACUGGUUAUGGGAUAUGGGGCUGAGGAAGGAAUGAAAUCCAGCUGUACGAUCUCAGUGCUGGGGUACAGGGUGGGGAAGGG